rnacentral:lncRNA from 1 species
UUUUUCUUGGCACAAAUUUCUUCAAUUCUGUCACAAAUUCCAUCAAUUUCUUGACACAAAUUUCAUCAGCUACAACUCAAAUUACUAAAUAAUAAAUAAAAAAUUCUAUAUCCCAAAGAACAAUUUAAAGUUUAUCAAACAGUUCAAAAAGCAAACAAACCAAUAUACUGCCCAAAUGCAUAUACAUGUGACUGACAGAUCAUAGACAACCCUCAUUUCCUAAAUGGGAUUGAUAAAACAUUGCCAAAAUAUGGUUCAACCAAUUUCGCUUGAUUUUCGUCUCUAUUGAUCAAUCUAACCCUCCUAUCAACCACGAUUCCCAGUCUACAAAAUUUAACCUCAUCAGUUCAUAAAUUCUCUUAUAGCAAUCAUCUUCCAUAAGAGGUUGUAGUAGCGGAGACGACGAGCGGAGGAGAUUUAGGUUGUUCAAGAGAUUUCAAUAAACCAACGAGAUUUUCACCAUUGCAAAUGUUUGGAUAGACUAGAAGGAAAGUUUGAGUCCCCUGUUUUCAAAGCCGACCUUUUAGGGCUGAAGAAAAAAGAAUUGAAAGUAGAGGUCGAAGAGGGUAGGGUUCUGCAAAUCAGGAGCAAGAGGGUAGUGGAAAGAAAGAGGUAAAUUUCUCAGAAGGUUCUACGUGUCCAAAAAUGCGAAAACUGAUGAAGUGAAGGCAGCAAUGGAGAUGGUGUUCUUACUGUAACUGUUCCUAAACUGGAGGUGAAGAAAUCGAAGGCCAAGACUAUUGAAAUCACUAGUUGAAAAUAAAGCAUUAUUUUCAAGUGUGUAGAGAGAUUAUGGUUAGCUUUAUUAAGCCCCCGUUUGACUCCCAUUA